GCCGAUUUGGUCCUAGUCCCAAAAUUAGUUUUUUCCAAGAUGCCACAUGCAAGUCAUUUAACCAACCAGUGAAGUAAUAAGUUAGAAAUAUUAGACUAAAAAGAAAACAGACCCUAAUACAUUAGUAUCAAGCCCAAUAAAGAGCUAACAACACUAAGCAAUACGCCACAACUGCAGUGCUAAAUAUUAAACAAUUAAGGAAACCUAGAUUUAGCAAAAGAAAAAAAGGGAGGUAAAAUACGUGCCAGCCACCGCGGUUAUACGUACUUCCUGAAACUAAAAACUAACGGUCAAAAGAGCGGUUAAGAAAGAAAAUUUAAUUCAAGCCCCAAGAAAGCGGUAGAAAGCUAACCUCAACAGAAAGAGAAAAAAUUAAUUAACAAUCUGAACCCGCGAAAGCUAAGAGAUAAACCAGGAUUAGAUACCCUGUUAUACAUGGCCCUAAACUAACAAAGCACCAGAGGAUUACAAACCAUAAGUUUAAAACUCAAAGGACUUGGCGGUUUUCCAAACCUUCCUGGAGGAGCUUGCCGUUGAAUCGAUAAUCCACGAAACACCUCACCAAUUCUUGAACAACCCAGCUUGUAUACCAUCGUCGUAAGCCUACUUCUUAAGAAAGUUGGCUAAAAGAAAUAUUCCCCAGACGUCAGAUCAAGGUGCAGCCUAUGAAUUGGGAACAGGUGAGCUACAAUGCCUUUAAAAGCCAGUGAAAGCCGAAAUGAAAUAACCGGCGGAAAUUGGAUUCAGUAGUACUGUAACAGAAGAAAAAGUACAGGAAAAAAGCUCUGGAAUGCGUACACAUCGCCCGUCACUCUCGCCUAGCCUUUACAGUAAGGGGAGAAAAGUCGUAACACAAUAGGCUCACCGGAAGGUGAGCCUGGCAAAAG
rnacentral:ncRNA from 1 species